rnacentral:rRNA from 1 species
AUUGAACGCUGGCGGCGUGCUUUACACAUGCAAGUCGAGCGGCAGCACGACCUUCGGGUUGGUGGCGAGCGGCGAACGGGUGAGUAAUACAUCGGAACGUACCUUUUAGUGGGGGAUAACGCAUCGAAAGAUGUGCUAAUACCGCAUAAUCUCUGAGGAGGAAAGGCGGGGACAUUCGGGCCUGUCGCUGAAAGAGCGGCCGAUGGCUGAUUAGCUAGUUGGUAGGGUAAAGGCCUACCAAGGCGAUGAUCAGUAGCUGUUCUGAGAGGAAGAUCAGCCACACUGGGACUGAGACACGGACCAGACUCCUACGGGAGGCAGCAGUGGGGAAUUUUGGACAAUGGGGGCAACCCUGAUCCAGCAACGCCGCGUGAAUGAAGAAGGCCUUCGGGUUGUAAAGUUCUUUUGUCAGGGAGCAAAGGGUGGAUGCUAAUACCAUCUAUCGCUGAGAGUACCUGAAGAAUAAGCACCGGCUAACUACGUGCCAGCGCCGCCGUAACAC